rnacentral:rRNA from 1 species
UACAGAGGUCUCAAGCGUUUGUUCGGAUUCAUUGGGCGUAAAGGGUGUGUAGGUGGCGCGCUAAGUCGGGUGUGAAAUUUCGGAGCUUAACUCCGAAACUGCAUUCGAUACUGGCGUGCUUGAGGACUGGAGAGGAGACUGGAAUUCAUGGUGUAGCAGUGAAAAUGCGUAGAUAUCGUAAGGAAGACCAGUGGCGAAGGCGGGUCUCUGGACAGUUCCUGACGCUGAGGCACGAAGGUCAGGGGGAGCAAAACGGGG